GAAAAUGUAUGUAUCAUCAUGCGGUAGUCAGUAAGGAAGUUUCAGGCCACAAUCAGUCGCAGAUGGCUAGAAUCAUUUUUGGUAUUAUCUUUCCAGGAAUGUAUUUCGCCUUGUUAUCCUUUGCUACGAGUCUAAUGGCAGUGUGUUCACCCUUCCUCAUCAAUGGACUAUUCGCAUACACGAAUAAGAUUGGCUUCCCUCAAAUCACAUUUUAUGUGACUUCAGUUAUUCUACUUAUCCCUCUGUCAUUGAAUGGAAUGCUGCAGUACUACGUUCAGAAAACAAAGAGGGAAAAGGAUUCGUCAAAACUCGACGACCAGCCCGACGGAUCUCGUAACCAAACUCUACGUCUUGAACCCAGCGAAGAUGAAAUUUAAUUUUUGCCUCGGAGCAAUCCCAAUCAACAUUAAGCGAAUAAAUACCCGCAUUAUCAAUGCUUGAUUAUGAAGUAUCUUAAAAAUAGUGACUUUACGAUAUAUAGUUGUUAGGAGAGCUCUCCUACACCCCGACAUAUUGUGAGUUUUAACGAUAUGACCUUUAAAAUUAAUGACUUAUACACGACAUACCAUAAUAAAUAUAUGUAUUUAAUGGGGUGAUCCAGUAGGCAGGCGCAGAUCCACAAUGAGGGCCCGACGGGCCCGCCAUCCC